UACGUAGGAGGCAAGCGUUGUCCGGAAUUACUGGGCGUAAAGCGCGUGUAGGUGGUGGGACAAGUCUGCUGUGAAAGCGCCUGGCUUAACCGGGCGAGGUCGGCGGAAACUGCCUCACUUGAGGACGGUAGAGGGGGGUGGAAUUCCCGGUGUAGUGGUGAAAUGCGUAGAGAUCGGGAGGAACACCUGUGGCGAAGGCGGCCGACUGGGCCGACCCUGACGCUGAGGCGCGAAGGCGUGGGGAGCGAACGGG
rnacentral:rRNA from 1 species